UGCAUCAAUUAUAACAACUUUUUAUUUACUAUACAAGUAUUAGAAAUUAGCGUAUGAUCAUAUCAGAAAUCAACCACUUCCUCAGUAAUAUAGAUAACAAACUUAAGUGUCGGUUUCCGUACUGUUCCUAUAAAAAUUAAAAUAGAGAGAGAUGGGGUUGUUUCUCCAUAGUUAAAAGUCUAAAAAUAGUUUGCUCUGUAAUCCAAAACAGAGAUGUAAUUCGAUCUUUGUUCAUGACAUACAAUUCCAGCGUUCUCAUCAGCAAAGGUAAAUCAUAAUGUAGGAGAUACUGAAACCCCCCAGGACUAGAUAUCAUUUCAAUUUGAUAGCUACUGCCACUUAAUAUUUUCUUUCGCCAGUUUUUCUGAACUGCAAACCAUUUAAUGU
rnacentral:misc_RNA from 1 species